rnacentral:rRNA from 1 species
CUACGGGAUGCACCAGUGAGGAAUAUUGCACAAUGGGGGGAACCCUGAUGCAGCAACGCCGCGAGGAGGAUGACGCAUUUCGGUGUGUAAACUCCUUUUAUAUGUCAAGAAAAUGACGGUAGCAUAUGAAUAAGCACCGGCUAACUCCGUGCCAGCAGCCGCGGUAAUACGGAGGGUGCAAGCGUUACUCGGAAUCACUGGGCGUAAAGGACGCGUAGGCGGGUUGGAAAGUCAGGUGUGAAAUCCUACAGCUUAACUGUAGAACUGCACUUGAAACUUCUAAUCUAGAGUAUGGGAGGGGGAGAUGGAAUUAGUGGUGUAGGGGUAAAAUCCGUAGAUAUCACUAGGAAUACCUAAAGCGAAGGCGAUCUCCUGGAACAUUACUGACGCUAAGGCGUGAAAGCGUGGGGAGCGAACAGGAUUAGAUACCCCCGUAGUC